rnacentral:rRNA from 1 species
CUACAGGUUUCCGUAGGUGAACCUGCGGAAGGAUCAUUAAUAGUGCCCUCUGAUGCAAAUCAUUGGGUUAGAUCUGCUCUCUUCGCAAGAAGAGGGUUUCCAUACACACCGUGAACUGUGGCUUCGGCCAUCACAAACUGUUAGUAAUGAAUGUAAUAUCAUAACAAAAACAAAACUUUUAACAACGGAUCUCUUGGCUCUCGCAUCGAUGAAGAACGCAGCGAAAUGCGAUAAGUAAUGUGAAUUGCAGAAUUCAGAGAAUCAUCGAAUCUUUGAACGCACCUUGCGCCCUUUGGUAUUCCGAAGGGCAUGCCUGUUUGAGUGUCAUGAAACCUCACCCCACUUGGGUUUUUGCCUGAGCGGUGGUGUAUUGGGUGUUGCCUUGCUAAAGGCUCGCCUUAAAGACAUAAGCACCUUGGAUGUAAUACGUUUCAUCCUUCUGGGUGGCUGAUAACCCCACAUAUUCAUGAUCUGGCCUCAAAUCAGGUAGGGCUACCCGCUGAACUUAAGCAUAUCA